rnacentral:rRNA from 1 species
UACGUAGGUGGCAAGCGUUGUCCGGAUUUACUGGGCGUAAAGAGCGCGCAGGCGGUCGUUCAAGUCGAGUGUGAAAGCCCCCGGCUCAACUGGGGAGGGUCACUCGAUACUGAUCGACUCGAAGGCAGAAGAGGGAAGCGGAAUUCCCGGUGUAGUGGUGAAAUGCGUAGAUAUCGCUUGGAACGCCGAAGGUGAAAACAGGUCGCUGGGGAUGUGCCGACGCUGAGACACGAAAGCCAGGGGAGCAAACGGG